rnacentral:ncRNA from 2 species
GUUUUAUCAAGAGAGCGGGGAGAGUUCUGGCUCUGUGAUCCGCCGACAACUUGUCCCGAGUAAAAUUGAGGGAUAAAGUGCCAAUUCCAGCCCACAAAACAAGUGGGGGAGAUAAGUU